rnacentral:tRNA from 1 species
GCCUCCGUAGCUCAGUUGGUAGAGCAGCUGACUCUUAAUCAGCGGGUCAAAGGUUCGAGUCCUUUCGGGGGCA